CCUACGGGGUGCAGCAGUGGGGAAUAUUGCACAAUGGGGGAAACCCUGAUGCAGCGACGCCGCGUGAGUGAAGAAGUAUUUCGGUACGUAAAGCUCUAUCAGCAGAGAAGAAAAUGACGGUACCUGACUAAGAAGCCCCGGCUAACUACGUGCCAGCAGCCGCGGUAAUACGUAGGGGGCAAGCGUUAUCCGGAUUUACUGGGUGUAAAGGGAGCGUAGACGGCAGCGCAAGUCUGGAGUGAAAUCCCAUGGCUUAACCAUGGAACUGCUUUGGAAACUGUGCAGCUAGAGUGCAGGAGAGGUAAGCGGAAUUCCUAGUGUAGCGGUGAAAUGCGUAGAUAUUAGGAGGAACACCAGUGGCGAAGGCGGCUUACUGGACUGUAACUGACGUUGAGGCUCGAAAGCGUGGGGAGCAAACAGGAUUAGAUACCCUUGUAGUC
rnacentral:rRNA from 1 species